rnacentral:lncRNA from 1 species
GGGUUUUACGUGCAGCCACCACUGGGUAUUCCACAUCUAGAUUCUCAUGUUCAUGUUUUUACUGUCAAUGUAACUUCCCUGCCAGUCGAUAGUCGAGGCACUCUUGGCAGUUUGUCUUGCAUGUUCCUUCUUUUGCUCAUCUUCCUUGACUUUACUACACUCAUUGUUCGCGUGUUGUGGAUUCUUCUAAUGAGUCAUCUCCCUCAACUACUAUGUCUUCUUCUGUUGGCAACACAUAGCUCCAGAUCAGCCUACUUAUGGCUUUCGAGCUCGUCCGCUUCUGCCUAUUGACUGCUAUGGUUAGUUAUUGCG